ACACCCAUAAACCAUUGACACCUUUUGAAAUGAACUCUGUUGAAACAGAAGCAAGCAAGAUUUCCCUGGAAAGGCAAUGGAACAGCUUAUUCUGGAGGUCAUCUCGAAGCAAGUGAAAGAAAAGGAGCUUAUCGGAAAUAGUCAACAUGGACUGACCAAGGGGAAAUCAUGCAUGACCAUUCUGGUAGCCUUCUAUGAUGUCAUGACUGGUGGGGUAGAUAAGGGUAGAGCAGUGAAUCUUCUCUGCCUUGACUUCAGCAAUACUUUUGACUCUGUCUCCCAUAGCACACUUGCAGAUUCCCUGGAAAAAGGUGUAACAUUUCAGCCUGCUGUGUUCACCACAACACACCACCACAAAUCUCUUGUGUGAUCUGUGGCAGCCUGGCUGAUAAAAUAAAUUGACUACAUGCAGACUACUGCCAAAGUGAGGGGAAGUGCUUCUGUGGAGAGGUUUAAUACGGUUACAGAGCAGAAAGGGGAGCAUUCACACCUUUAAGAUGGCUGUCACUAAGCUUUGCAAAUACGCAGGAGAUUGAAGAAGUUCAAAUGAGCAGUAAACUGGACAGAGACAAGAAAGAUAAAGGGGAUGCUAAAACUUUGGGCGGUGAGCAGAACAAAAUCUCUACUGCUUUAAAUAUCAGUAGCAAGAAAAAAAUGGGGAAAAUUUCAAAAACUAUCUGAACAGCGCAAUUAGAUGCUGGAGCUAAAUAGCUUUAUGAAAUGGAAAACAUGCCACAGUGUCUACAGGAUACCAGGGGAUAGGACUCGGUGGCUCUGGAGAUCCCUUACAGUUCUGCCACAUGAUGUUCUCAGAGUACACCAUGUGAGACAACGAUGCUUUUUUCUUACUCUGAAUCUAGCCUUCAAGAGACCAAUAAAGGACAGGAACAUUAUGGCUUAGUUCAGAGAGGGAGUUUAUGGCCAAAAAAGGGUCCCUUGAAAAUGAGGGUCUAACUACCAUCCACACUGAAACUUGAGUGGGAUGGUGAGAUACUCAAAAAUAAAUAGUAAAUGG